rnacentral:rRNA from 1 species
UACGAAGGGUGCAAGCGUUAAUCGGAAUUACUGGGCGUAAAGCGUGCGCAGGCGGUUAUGUAAGACAGAUGUGAAAUGCCCGGGCUUAACCUGGGAACUGCAUUUGUGACUGCAUGGCUAGAGUUUGGCAGAGGGGGGUAGAAUUCCACGUGUAGCAGUGAAAUGCGUAGAGAUGUGGAGGAACACCGAUGGCGAAGGCAGCCCCCUGGGUCAAGAUUGACGCUCAUGCACGAAAGGCGUGGGGAGCAAACAGG